GUGAAUCCCUGUCAAUAGCUAGAAAGAAGCAGUAGAAGCCAAAGAGCCCCACUACUAACAGAGUCCUGAACCCAAGCCAAGGCCAAAAUUCUCCUGUGCCAGGCCAGCUGACUGGGCAGGGGAGCUGGUACAGAAAGACCCCAGAGGAGAGAGCGAGGCACUCAGACAGCCUGAAGAAGCAGCACUCGGAGGGUUAACAGGUGACUCAACUUCCCACGACCUGUGAACUUGAAUUUUUUGUUUUUGAAUACAAACUCCACUGAAAGUCCAGUCUGUGCUGCUAAUAUGAUUGUACCUUCUGAAACUCAAAUGAUUGUAUUCACUACCACACUGGAGCUCAUUGGUAUACAUCAACACAAAGUCAUUGUGUGUUAUUCUUAUAGCUUGCUGAAAAGGAUUCUUUCUGGUUGGCACAUGUUACACUUUCAACAAAAAAAAGGAAGAUAGUCUAUUUAAAUGCAAGAAGAAGAAGGUCAGAGUUAUCGGGACAUCUUUUGUAUCCGUGCCCAAGAGCAUUGCCUUUACUAUCUGUAACAUGUUAGCAUGCAUAUAUGUACAGGUUGUGUUCAUAACCAUUGAGUGCUUAUAGCUGUAAGAUACUUUAUAAAAUGACUUUCAUGCUGAGUAUUUAAGUGAGGAUAAGAUAUUAAUUAGAAGUGUUUUGUUCAAGGGCUUUUACCUGUUUGUGCUUUGUUUCUUAAUGAAAAUGUGCUGAGUUUAAAUUACUCAUUACAACAUUGGUGAUAUAUUUGUUCAUAAUGGCGCACUGUUACAUUAAUGUAGCUUCACACAACAGACGAUGCACAGCAAACACUGAGUAAAACUAAAUUAUAGAGACGAUUGUUUCAAAUGCAUGCCAAACUCUGUAUGUUUUCCCUCAUUGUCUACUGUCCAUGUCCACACUGAGUAAUACUCUAAAUAAAAGAAUAGUCAUGUAAAUAUAUUAUUGUUCAGGAAUUGGUACACCCACUAGUCCAC